rnacentral:rRNA from 1 species
UACGUAGGGGGCAAGCGUUGUCCUGAUUUAUUGGGCGUAAAGAGCGUGUAGGCGGUUAUGCAGGUCCGCUGUGAAAACUGGAGGCUUAACCUCCAGACGUCGGUGGAAACCGUAUGACUAGAGUCCGGAAGAGGAGAGUGGAAUUCCUGGUGUAGCGGUGAAAUGCGCAGAUAUCAGGAAGAACACCCGUGGCGAAGGCGGCUUUCUGGGACGGUACUGACGCUGAGACGCGAAAGCGUGGGGAGCGAACAGG